AUAAGGAGGAAGGAUUUGACUGAUUGCAACCUCAUUAAAAAAUUGCUAAAGCAGUAUU
rnacentral:ncRNA from 1 species